GACCUCUGACCCCUUGCACCCCACAGGGUGUGUUCUGUACGCUCAGUGGAUGGCUCCGCUACGACUGCCUUCACAGUGUUGGAGUGUGAGGGCUCCAGGCGGUUGGGCUCCAGACCCCGACGCUACCUGCUCACCGGCCAAGCCAAUGGCAGCCUGGCCAUGUGGGACCUGACCACUGCCAUGGACGGCCUGGGCCAAACCCCUGGUAUUCUCUGCCUCACUUGAAUCCUGUCCCAGGCCCCACUGUCCCCAUGAUUUCCCUUCCCAGGCCUCUGCCCACUGGGUUCUUUCCCCCCAACCUCCUUUUCAAGAUUUAUGUCUUCAUACACACCAGAAGAGGACAUCAGAUCCUAUUACAAAUGGACAGAUGGUUGUGAGCCACCAUGUGGGUGCUGGGAAUCAAACUCAGGACCUCUAGAAGAGCAGCCAAUGCUCUUAACCUCUGAGCCAUCUCUCCAGCCCCUGGUCCUUUCUUAUUACUACUGCUUUUCCCCUUUCCUCUCAUAACCUGACCCCAACCCGUCUAUCUCUGCAUUCUUUUUUCUCUCCUACAUUCAGUUGCUCUUGACCUGUGACCCCUCCCCCACCUUAUCCCUGACUGCACUUCUUUGUCACCCCCAGCAGGCGGCCUGACCGAAGAAGAGCUGAUGGACCAACUGGAGCAGUGUGAACUGAGCCCAUUGACUUCUUCUCGGGCCUCUUUUCCCAGCCCCUCACCCAGAACCUCUCUUACCAGUCUACACUCAGCCUCCAGCAACACCUCGCUGUGUGGCCACAGAGGGAGCCCCAGCCCACCGCAGGCAGGGGCCCGGAGCCGCGGGGCAGGAAGCUUCGUGGAUCGGUUUAAAGAACUGGCAAGGGGUGCACCGGAGCUCCGAGGGCCACCAACACCAGCCCCUCGACCCUCCACCAGUCUUGGGAAUCCCCUGAUACUUCCCAAAAACACACUUAACGAAACUUCCUUUUGAUUCUAGCCACGACCGGCUGUGCCUUCUUGUGGACUGGUCCCAGGGGACUCGGGACUAGGGGGAGGGGAGGCUUCCUGUUGGAGCCAGGAACUCUUUAGUGUGAUCUUGGUCGCCAAGUUCCCGCCUCUCUUCUUUUCUAAAAGCCAAAGCCACUGUCUCUAAUAAAAUCCUCACUGCCAACUGUU
rnacentral:lncRNA from 1 species